GAGUUUGAUCGUGGCUCAGAACGAACGCUGGCGGCAGGCUUAACACAUGCAAGUCGAACGCCCCGCAAGGGGAGUGGCAGACGGGUGAGUAACGCGUGGGAACCUACCUUUCGGUACGGAAUAACUCGGGGAAACUCGUGCUAAUACCGUAUAUUCCGGUAACGGGAAAGAUUUAUCGCCGAAAGACGGGCCCGCGUUAGAUUAGCUAGUUGGUGGGGUAAUGGCCUACCAAGGCGACGAUCUAUAGCUGGUCUGAGAGGAUGAUCAGCCACACUGGGACUGAGACACGGCCCAGACUCCUACGGGAGGCAGCAGUGGGGAAUCUUGGACAAUGGGGGAAACCCUGAUCCAGCCAUGCCGCGUGAGUGAUGACGGCCUUAGGGUUGUAAAGCUCUUUCACGCAUGAUGAUGAUGACGGUAAUGCGAGAAGAAGCCCCGGCUAACUUCGUGCCAGCAGCCGCCGCCGU
rnacentral:rRNA from 1 species